AGAAUCAACGCUGGCGGCGUGCCUAACACAUGCAAGUCGAACGAGAAAGUGGAGCAAUCCAUGAGUAAAGUGGCGCACGGGUGAGUAACACGUGACUAACCUACCCUUGAGUGGGGGAUAACCUAGGGAAACCUGGGCUAAUACCGCAUAAUACCGAGAGGUCAAAGGAGCAAUUCGCUUAAGGAGGGGGUCGCGGGCCGAUUAGUUAGUUGGCGGGGUAAUGGCCCACCAAGACUAUGAUCGGUA
rnacentral:rRNA from 1 species